UGACGUCAAGUCCUCAUGGCCCUUAUGGUAGGGCUUCACACGUCAUACAAUGGUCGGUACAGAGGGUUGCCAAGCCGCGAGGCGGAGCCAAUCCCACAAAGCCGAUCGUAGUCCGGAUUGUUCUCUGCAACUCGAGAGCAUGAAGUCGGAAUCGCUAGUAAUCGCAGGUCAGCAUACUGCGGUGAAUACGUUCCCGGGUCUU
rnacentral:rRNA from 1 species